UCCCGAGCGUUNUCCGGAUUUAUUGGGCGUAAAGCGAGCGCAGGCGGUUAGAUAAGUNUGAAGUUAAAGGCUGUGGCUUAACCAUAGUACGCUUUGGAAACUGUUUAACUUGAGUGCAGAAGGGGAGAGUGGAAUUCCAUGUGUAGCGGUGAAAUGCGUAGAUAUAUGGAGGAACACCGGUGGCGAAAGCGGCUCUCUGGUCUGUAACUGACGCUGAGGCUCGAAAGCGUGGGGAGCGAACAGGAUUAGAUACCCUGGUAGUCCACGCCGUAAACGAUGAGUGCUAGGUGUUAGGCCCUUUCCGGGGCUUAGUGCCGCAGCUAACGCAUUAAGCACUCCGCCUGGGGAGUACGACCGCAAGGUUGAAACUCAAAGGAAUUGACGGGGGCCCGCACAAGCGGUGGAGCAUGUGGUUUAAUUCGAAGCAACGCGAAGAACCUUACCAGGUCUUGACAUCCCGAUGCCCGCUCUAGAGAUAGAGUUUUACUUCGGUACAUCGGUGACAGGUGGUACAUGGUUGUCGUCAGCUCGUGUCGUGAGAUGUUGGGUUAAGUCCCGCAACGAGCGCAACCCUUAUUGUUAGUUGCCAUCAUUCAGUUGGGCACUCUAGCGAGACUGCCGGUAAUAAACCGGAGGAAGGUGGGGAUGACGUCAAAUCAUCAUGCCCCUUAUGACCUGGGCUACACACGUGCUACAAUGGCUGGUACAACGAGUCGCAAGUCGGUGACGGCAAGCUAAUCUCUUAAAGCCAGUCUCAGUUCGGAUUGUAGGCUGCAACUCGCCUACAUGAAGUCGGAAUCGCUAGUAAUCGCGGAUCAGCACGCCGCGGUGAAUACGUUCCCGGGCCUUGUACACACCGCCCGUUACACCACGAGAGUUUGUAACACCCGAAGUCGGUGAGGUAACCUUU
rnacentral:rRNA from 1 species